GUCGUGGGGCAUCGGGGACGGAGCUUGCUCCGCCCGCCGGCGACCGGCGAAUGGGUGAGUAACGCGUAUCCAACCUGCCCCCCGCCCGGGGAUAGCCCUUGGAAAUGAGGAUUAAGACCCGAUACGCGGCGCCAUCGCAUGGCGGCGCCAUGAAAGAGGCGAGGGAUGGGGAUGCGUUGGAUUAGCUUGCUGGCAGGGUAACGGCCUACCAGGGCGACGAUCCAUAGGGGUUCUGAGAGGAAGGUCCCCCACACUGGCACUGAGACACGGGCCAGACUCCUACGGGAGGCAGCAGUGAGGAAUAUUGGUCAAUGGGCGAGAGCCUGAACCAGCCAAGUAGCGUGCAGGAUGACGGCCCUACGGGUUGUAAACUGCUUUUGCGGGAGAAUAAAGGUGGCCACGCGUGGCCAUUUGCAGGUAUCCCGUGAAUAAGGACCGGCUAAUUCCGUGCCAGCAGCCGCGGUAAUACGGAAGGUCCGGGCGUUAUCCGGAUUUAUUGGGUUUAAAGGGAGCGCAGGCGGAGGAUCAAGCCAGCCGUCAAAUAGCGGUGCUCAACACCGUCCAGCGGUUGGAACUGGUUCCCUUGAUUGCGGGAGAAGAAGGCGGAACUCGUGGUGUAGCGGUGAAAUGCAUAGAUAUCACGAAGAACUCCGAUUGCGAAGGCAGCCUUCCGGCCCGCCAAUGACGCUCAUGCUCGAAGGCGCGGGUAUCAAACAGGAUUAGAUACCCUGGUAGUCCGCGCAGUAAACGAUGAAUGCUCGGGAUUUGGCCCUUGUGGCUGAGUCCCCCAGCGAAAGCGUUAAGCAUUCCACCUGGGGAGUACGCCGGCAACGGUGAAACUCAAAGGAAUUGACGGGGGCCCGCACAAGCGGAGGAACAUGUGGUUUAAUUCGAUGAUACGCGAGGAACCUUACCCGGGCUUGAAAUGUACCUGGCAGCCG
rnacentral:rRNA from 1 species